rnacentral:rRNA from 1 species
UUGAACGCUGGCGGCAGGCCUAACACAUGCAAGUCGCACGGUAACAGGAAGCAGCUUGCUGCUUCGCUGACGAGUGGCGGACGGGUGAGUAAUGUCUGGGAAGCUGCCUGAUGGAGGGGGAUAACUACUGGAAACGGUAGCUAAUACCGCAUAAUGUCGCAAGACCAAAGAGGGGGACCUUCGGGCCUCUUGCCAUCGGAUGUGCCCAGAUGGGAUUAGCUUGUUGGUGGGGUAACGGCUCACCAAGGCGACGAUCCUUAGCUGGUCUGAGAGGAUGACCAGCCACACUGGAACUGAGACACGGUCCAGACCCCUACGGGAGGCAGCAGUGGGGAAUAUUGCACAAUGGGCGCAAGCCUGAUGCAGCCAUGCCGCGUGUAUGAAGAAGGCCUUCGGGUUGUAAAGUACUUUCAGCGGGGAGGAAGGGAGUAAAGUUAAUACCUUUGCUCAUUGACGUUACCCGCAGAAGAAGCACCGGCUAACUCCGUG